rnacentral:ribozyme from 1 species
AUGAUAGUGUGCACGUCAUGAUAAAGCAUGAUAAGAAGAAGCUUAGUGAUAAAGGUGAAAAAGUUACAGGUUAUGUUCCUCGGGCUCCUCACCCAUGCCUUACAGGCGAAGUUCAGCCUAAUAAUACGGAAGAUGGAGA